CAAGUACUCCCUCCGUCCGAAAAUACCUGUCAUCAAAAUGGACAAAAAAAGAUGUAUCUAGAACUAAAAUACAUCUAGAUACAUCACUCUUUAUUCAUUUUCAUGACAUGACAAGUAUUUCCGGACGAAGAGAAUAGGAC
rfam:Triticum urartu cultivar G1812 contig256723, whole genome shotgun sequence.